UAAAUAGAAUCGCUCUGUUCUCGUGGCGUGGUUUUUUUUUUUAUUUUUUUUAUUUUUUUCGCAUAUUAAUUUUUUGUUUGAUCGCGUAAAUAGGGAGGACUUGAAUUGAAAAUCGAAAUCGAAAGACAUUGUUCGUCUUUAUCUCAGUUUGGUGGAACCACAAUCUCCUGGACUAUCACCAUGGGGGGACCGUUUUUCUCUACACCUUUUCAGCCUUAUGUAUACCAGGUACUCUCCUUACUUCCCACGAUGAAUUUAGUUUUCCCUUUUAUUCUCUCUACUUGCUGUUUGGUUGAUCAGAAAAUUGAGUGGAACUUAAACAACAAUUGCUUUUUUAAAAAGGUCGUUUUACGUGUUUUUGAUAAUGAAUUUACUCUGCAAGUAAUUUGAUUUAUUCUUUUAAUAAUUUCAUUUGUUGUGUUAAGUGUUAGCUGGCUGAAUUUGGGGUUUUGUUCUCAUUUUGGCGUUUGAUUGUCUGUGCAUUGCUGAAGAUCGACUUUUGUUGGUCUGCUGGCUAGGGUUUAACCUGGUGGAAGUCGAUGUUCUGUCGUAUCCGCAAAAUUUGAUAUCAGUGCGCAUACAUUUUAGUGCUUUCUGUUGAUUGCUAGUUGUGUUUCUAUAGAGCGCAUGGGAUGCUGUCCCUCAGGACUUUCAACUACUCUGAAUGACCAAACACGAAAUCAUAUAAUCAACUUGUAUGGGCAAUAUGCGUGGGGCCUACUUCCUCUUCUCAGGGUCUUGUAUGUCCCGAAAAGAAAGUAUAGCAUAGAGGAAUGAGUCUUCUUUUUUGUCAUGUAGUAAGUGAUAGAAGAGGUGAGGAUGAAGAGAAGAGAGAGGAAAUACAGUUUUACACAAUGUAGUAAGUGAUAAACAAAAAAUGAAGAUGAAGAGAAGAUAGAGGAAACAGUUAUAUUCCUCAACUUUUAUACUUCAAAUGGAUUACAGCCACGUGGAAGGGAAUGGUAGUUCAUUAGUAUGCAUUUUAUCAAAUUCCAUAAAUGAUAAUUUACUAGUAUGCCUACUGUGAAAUUUAACAAAGUUGAUAUGCCCACGUUUAUGGUAUAUGGCCGCAAAUCCUGCCACUAAAUUAAAAUUCUCUAGCAGAUCUCAUUUAUUUCAGGGUGUUUCCUCCAUAUGUGAACAUUGGAACUGCUACAGUUGCAUGCCAUGUGAGUAAGAGACACCAAGAUGCACUAAAUAUUUGUGUUUUCAAGAGCAUAUCCUUCUAGGUUGACCUUGUGCUGUUUUAAGACAUUGGCACGUGGUCUUUUACAUGUGUGAUCACUUGAUCAUUGUCAAUUGAGUUAUCCAAUCAUGUGGUAGAAGGUAAAGUUCUCAAAUGCUGGACGUGAAUUUGUGAUGUGCAUGUAUUCUUUUGGUUAAUUCCUUGAAAUCUGGUGUGCUUCUAAGGUAGUCAUAAUGACUAAUAAUAUCUUGCUCUUUUGAUCUCGAUUUGUGACUUAAUUUCCUUAAGCAUUUUAUUCCAAAUACAUUCAUGACUCUGUUGAUUUCGGAGCCCUUUGUCACCUCCUUGCUUUCCAAUUUUUUCAUAUUUCUUUGGAGGAUGACCGCUUAUUAUUCAGAACUAUCAAGCCAUCCUACUUAAAUUUUAUGGAUAAAUUCCACGUAUAUGUUUUGGUUCUAUUCUUUUGGGUCGUAACUUACUAUCUUUCGAUGACAUUGGAGCUGUUAUCGAUAUUCUCCUAGAUAUGUAAUACUUUGUAUAUGGGCGGUAUCCCUUUGGUGCCCUUUUUUGAUACAUCUACUAACUUGUAUCUCAAAAAAAAAAAAAAAAUUCCACGUAUAUCCCUGGAUUUGCCCAUAUUUCAGCCUAAUCGGCAAUUUUGUGGAAAAAAACACCACAGUUCUGCCGUUUAAGAGCUGUUGCUGGUAAAUACAUGUGCAUUUGCCUGAGUUGUUACUUUCAUCUCUAGUGACUUGUAAUUUUGUUUUGGUCUUUCCAUAAAAAGCAAAUUUUGGGUUUCUAGUGUGACGGAGGCUCCUUAUGUGAUCUA
rnacentral:lncRNA from 1 species